rnacentral:rRNA from 1 species
CGCUGGCGGCGUGCCUAACACAUGCAAGUCGAGGCGGGACAUUGCGACGGAGGCGAAGUACUCGUACGGAGUCAAAGAUGUAAUGUUCUAGCGGCGGACGGGUGAGUAACGCGUGAGCAACCUGUACCCUUACGAGGGGGAUAACACAGCGAAAGUUGUACUAAUACCGCAUAAGACCACAGGAUGACAUCGUCCAGGGGGUCAAAGGAGCAAUCCGGUAAGGGGUGGGCUCGCGUCCGAUUAGAUAGUUGGUGAGGUAACGGCCCACCAAGUCGACGAUCGGUAGCCGACCUGAGAGGGUGAUCGGCCACAUUGGGACUGAGACACGGCCCAACUCCUACGGGAGGCAGCAGUGGGGAAUAUUGGGCAAUGGGGGGAAACCCUGACCCAGCAACGCCGCGUGAGGGAAGAAGGUUUUCGGAUCGUAAACCUCUGUCCCAGGUGAAGAGGAAGAGACGGUAGCCUGGGAGGAAGCCCCGGCUAACUACGUGCCAGCAGCGGC